GAAAAGGCUUACAGUAGAUACCUAGGCACCCAGAGAUAAGGAAGGGCGUAGUAAUCGACGAAAUGCUUUAGGGAGUUGGAAAUAAGCAUAGAUCCAAAGAUUACCCAAUAGGGCAACCUUUCAAACUGCAGUUGAAUCCAUGGGCAGGAAAGAGACAACCAGGCGAACUAAAAUAUCUUUGUAGCCAGAGAAAAAGAAAGCAAAAGUGAUUCCCAUAGUAGCAGCGAGCGAAAUAGGAGCAGCCUAAACCAGGAAAAUAGGGAUGUGGGAAAGCAAUACAAGUUUCGUGCUGCUAGGCGAAGGACCCGAAAUGCUACACCCUAGAUGGCAAAAGACCAGUAGCCAAAAGCAUCACUAGCUUACUCUCUGACCCGAGUAGCAUGGGGCAUAUGGAAUCCCGUGUGAAUCAGCAAGGACCACCUUGGAAGGCUAAAUACUCCUGGGUGACCAAUAGCGAAGUAGUACCAUGAGGGAAGGGUGAAAAGAACCCCCAUCGGGGAGUGAAAUAGAACAUGAAACCAUAAGCUACCAAGCAGUGGGAGGAGCCAUGGCUCUAACCGCGUGCCUGUUGAAGAAUGAGCCAGCGACUCAUAGGCAGUGGCUUGGUUAAGGGAACCCACCGGAGCCAUAGCAAAAAUGAGUCUUCAUAGGGCAAUUGUUACAGCUUAUGGACCAAAACCUAGGUGAUCUAUCCAUAACCAGGAUGAAGCUUGGGUGAAACUAAGUGAAGGUCCGAACAGACUAAUGUUGAAGAAUCAGAGGAUGAGUUGUGGUUAAUAAUAAAAUACUACUCGAACCCAGAGCUAGCUGGUUCUCCCUGAAAUGCAUUGAGGCACAGAAGUUGAUUGGACAUCUAGGGGUAAAGCACUAUUUUGGUGCAGGCCACGAGAGCGGUACCAAAUCAAGGAAAACUCUAAAUACUAGGUAUCACCUUAAAAUUAAAAAAGAGGGGUCAAAGUCAGCUAGUGAGACGAUGAGGGAUAAGCUUCAUCGUCGAGAGGGAAACAACCCGGAUUACCAGCUAAGGCCCCUAAAUGGCCACUCAAUGAUAAAGGAGGUAGGGGUGCAGAGACAGCCAGGAGGUUUGCCUAGAAGCAGCCACCCUUGAAAGAGUGCAUAAUAGCUCACUGAUCGAGCGCUCUUGCGCCGAAGAUGAACGGGGCUAAGCGAUCUACCAAAGCUGUGGGGUGUAAAAAUACAUCGGUAGGGGAGCGUUCCACCUUACAAGAAAGCCUCCUCAUGAGCGGUGGUGGAUGAAGCGAAAGCGAGAAUAUCAGUUUGAGUAAUGCAAACAUUGGUGAUAAUCCAAUGCCUCGAAAACCUAAGGGUUCCUCCGCAAGGUUCAUCCACAAAGGGUGAUUCAGGGUCUAAGAUCAGGCCGAAAGGCAUAGUCGAUGGACAACAGGUGAAUAUUCCUGUACUAACCCUUGUUGGUCCUGAGGGAUGGAGGAGGCUAGGUUAGACAAAAGAUGGUUAUCGGUUCAAGAACAUAAGGUGUCCCUGCCCUUUUUUCAGGGUAAGAAGGGGUAGAGAAAAUACCUCGAGCCAAUAUUCGAAUACCACGCGCUACGGUGCUGAAGUAACCCAUGCCAUACUCCCAGAAAAAGCUCAAACAACUUUGAGCAAGAGGGUACCUAUACCCGAAACUGACACAGGUGGGUAGGUAGAGAAUACCUAGGGGCAUGAGACAACUCUCUCUAAGGAACUCGGCAAAAUAGCCCCGUAACUUUGCGAGAAGGGGUGCCUCUUCACAUCACAAAGGGGGUCGUAGGCAUGAGACUAUGUAUGGGGGCUAAAGCCUGCCCAGUGCCAGAAGGUCAAGGAAGUUGGUGACCUGAUGACAGGGGAGCUAGCGACCGAAACCCCGGUGAACGACGGCCAUAACUAUAACGGUCCUAAGGUAAUGAAAUUUCUUGUCGGGAAAGUUUCGACCCGUAUGAAAGUCGUAACGAUCUGGGCACUGUCUCGAAGAGAGGCUCGGUGAAAUAGAUAUGUCUGUGAAGAUGCGGAAUACCUGCACCUGGACAAAAAGACCCUAUGAAGCUUCACUGUUCCCUGGGAUUGGCUUUGGGCCUUUCCUGUGCAGUUUAGGUGGAAGGCGAAGAAAGCCUCUUUCCGGGGGGGGCCCAACCCAUCAGUGAGAUACCACUCUGGAAGGGCUAAAAUUCUAACCUUGUGUCAUGACCUACGGGCCAAGGGACAGUCUCAGGUAGACAGUUUCUAUGGGGCGUAGGCCUCCCGAAAGGUAACAGAGACGUGCAAAGGUUUCCUCGAGCCGGACGGAGAUUGGCCCUCAAGUGGAAAGGCAGAAGGGAGCUUGACUGCAAGACCCACCCGUCGAGCAGGGAUGAAAGUCGGCCUUAGUGAUCCGAUGGUGCCGAGUGGAAGGGCCGUCGCUCAAUGGAUAAAAGUUACUCUAGGGAUAACAGGCUUAUAUUUCCCAAGAGCUCAUAUCAACAGGAAGGUUUGGCACCUCGAUGUAGGCUCUUUGCCACCUGGGGCUGUAGUAUGUUCCAAAGGUUGGGCUGUUCGCCCAUUAAAGCGGUACGUGAGCUGGGUUCAGAAUGUCGUGAGACAGUUCAGUCCAUAUCCAGUGUGGGAGUUAGAGCAUUGAUAGGACCUUUCCCUAGUACGAGAGGACUGGGAAGGAUGCACCUGUGGUGUACCAGUUAUCGUGCCCACGGUAAAUGCAGGGUAGACAAGUUCGGAGCGGAUAACUGCUGAAAGUAUCUAAGUAGUAAGCCCACCCUAAGAUGAGUGCUCUCCUAUUCCGACUUCCCCAGAGCUUCCGGUAGCACAGCCGAGACAGCGACGGGUUCUCUGCCCCUGCGGGGAUGGAGCGACAGAAGUUUUUUUGAGAAUUCAAGAGAAGGUCACGGCGAGACGAGCCGUUUAUCAUUACGAUAGGUGUCAAGUGGAAGUGCAGUGAUGUAUGCAGCUGAGGCAUCCUAACAGACCGGUAGACUUAAAC
rnacentral:rRNA from 1 species